rnacentral:tRNA from 1 species
GCGAGAAUAGCUCAGUUGGCUAGAGCACCACCUUGCCAAGGUGGGGGUCGCGGGUUCGAGUCCCGUUUCUCGCUCCA